CCAUAGCUGAUUCUGUCAUGUGGCCCACGUGGGGACCCAGCUGGGCACCCGCCUCACUGCCAGCCAUGAGGGAUUCUAGAGAAGAGGUCUACCAAGUUUGGCUGAGCAUCAGUUGCCAUGAGAGAUUCAGAUGAGAAAUUUUCACCAUCUUCAAGUCACAAAUUGCAAGAGAAAUUCUUCUGGGGAUGGGGACAAUCAGGACUGAAGAACAUGUCAUUUUCCCUAGAAACAGCUCUCAUCCUC